GUGCUCGCUUCGGCAGCACACAUACUAAAAUUGGAAUGAUACAGAGAAUAUUAGCAUGGCCCCUGCGCAAGGAUGACACCAAAUUCGUGAAGCAUUCCAUAUUUAA
rnacentral:snRNA from 1 species